rnacentral:sRNA from 2 species
UCAUCGAUGUCGCUGUUUGAGCUGUUUGGGCUGUUUGCUGUUUGCUGUGGACAAAGGUCCCUGCUGCUACGGAAUGAAGAAAUGACUGAUGGGACAAAGUUGGAUCCGGUUUGAGAAUCAGCAGGGCAAAACGGUCGAGGAGCCAGGAUUGCCCGAAUUGAUCGCGGGCGCGAAGUAUAAAUAGAUCUAAGUUUGGGAUCUUCCAACUCUAAUCGUACGGGGUAGCGUGAUUCUUCUCUCAACUUCCCCCUCAUCCAUCUCUCGCCCAGGUUCCCGUGGAUGGUCACACCUCGCAACUGAUCACAGACACCAGGUCACUCGCCCAGUCCUCGCUCCACGCUGCGCAUCUCGGUCCGUCAGCUGCUGUGGUCAAGCGAACCCGCUUCUGGCCCAAUUGACUUCGCCCAUUGGCCGCCCACACCUCCUCCUUUACCUCCUCACCUACCCGCUUCCUUGAUCAAUCAAUAAUCUUCAUGAACAAAUAAAUACAUUUCAACAACAACAACAACAACAACAAACCCACGACGCUGUUGCAAGAUGAAUCUAACUGUGGGGAAAUUCUUUUUUCUUGUCCGUUGCAAUUGCACGCGUUCUGCGGCAAUAAAAAUGACCGCAUCUUGAAUGGCCAAUGGAGCCCGUCAACGGGCACUAAUUAUAGUGUCAUUUGCCAUUCGCCAUUGACUCGUUACCUUAUCUCUCAGCGAGCUGUAAAUAUCGGAGUAGACAUAUACAUAUAUAUAUAAAUAUAAUAUCAGCCAAUCGCCGAGGAAGAAGAGAAAGGUCAAAAAAUCAAGAUACAAUUGCACUGCACUGCACUGCACUGCAUUUUGAAUGAACUUUUGUGGAUAACUUAACUUCGCUGCUGUAAAGGCUAGCAAUCAAUAUAUACAUCAUCGAUAGCUUUACUCCCGUAUAUCAUUCGUCAAUCCGCUUCUAAGGCAAACUGGCAAACAAAUUUAUAUCAAUCAUAAGGUGUUUUGGUCUAAUUGAGUUAUACUGAAUGGGAUUUCCUUCCAGUAUCGUCUAUCCCC